GACGAACGCUGGCGGCGUGCUUAACACAUGCAAGUCGAACGGAAAGGCCCUGCUUUUGUGGGGUGCUCGAGUGGCGAACGGGUGAGUAACACGUGAGUAACCUGCCCUUGACUUUGGGAUAACUUCAGGAAACUGGGGCUAAUACCGGAUAGGAGCUCCUGCUGCAUGGUGGGGGUUGGAAAGUUUCGGCGGUUGGGGAUGGACUCGCGGCUUAUCAGCUUGUUGGUGGGGUAGUGGCUUACCAAGGCUUUGACGGGUAGCCGGCCUGAGAGGGUGACCGGCCACAUUGGGACUGAGAUACGGCCCAGACUCCUACGGGAGGCAGCAGUGGGGAAUAUUGCACGAUGGGCGGAAGCCGUAUGCAGCAACGCCGCGUGCGGGAUGACGGCCUUCGGGUUGUAAACCGCUUUCGCCUGUGACGAAGCGUGAGUGACGGUAAUGGGUAAAGAAGCACCGGCUAACUACGUG
rnacentral:rRNA from 1 species